rnacentral:lncRNA from 1 species
UCAUUGAUGGUUAAUGCAAAUACUUUUUUAUUUAAAAAAGCCUUGAAAACAAGACUUCAAGAAGUCUAGGCUACUGGGUUUAUGGCACUUAAGCUGAAAUGGAACGACAGUCAUUUCAUUUGACAGAAUGAUUUGUUCCAUAUUACAGUUAAGAAAAAUGAUUAAAGCUCUUUAAUUCAGUUGGGAAAGAGAUUCUGAAAGCUUUUCAAAUUUAAGUAACUGCUUUUUGAAACACCAUAGCUACUUCCUAUAAUUGCCCACUAGAUUUGCAUACCAACAGGAGAAAACAGUAACAACUUUCAAGUUAAAUCAUCCAGGCUUCUUUAGUUUUAACCCUGUCGAAUUUCCUAGUGAACUUCAAAUUUUUUAUUGAUCAUUCAAUAUUGAUAAUGUUAUUGCUGUUUUCUUCUUCUACUUUUUUUUUUUUUUUUUGGUCUUUUUGUCUUUUCCAGGGCCGUACCCGUGGCACACGGAGGUUCCCAGGCUAGGGGUCUGAUCAGAGCUGUAGCCGCAGGCCUACACCACAGCCACAGCAAUGCCGGAUCCCCAACCGACUGAACAAGGCCAAGGAUCAAAUCCACAACCUCACGGUUUCUAGUUGGAUUCAUUUCCACUGCACCAUGACAGGAACUCCCCAGCUGUCUUCUUCUUAAGAUAAAAUUAGUCAUGUAUUUCAACAGACUGGUCUCCUCUUCUUGUUCUACAUCGUUCUUCUCCUCCCCCUUCUUUUAAAAUACCCCUGGAUGCAUAUUUUAAUGAUAAUUAAUUAAUCAUAAUCUUUGUUUCAUAACACACUGUCAUUAUUAGUCUAUAUAUAGCCCCUUUCCCUCCCUCUCUCAUUCCCUCCCUCCUUCCUUCCCUCACUCCCUACCUUCCUCUCUCCUUCCCUUUCUCCCUCCCUCUUUCUUUUUCUUUCAUUGUUAAAAUUAAUAAGACAAAUAUCUGAAACCUACAAUCUAACCGGCACUAGAAUAUUAAAAUUAAAUUAUCCCUGGUUUCCUCCCUCUCUUUUUACUCCUUCAAUUUUUUUUUUUUUUUUUUUUUUGGCUUUUUAGGGCCACACCCGCAGCGUAUGGAAGUUCCCAGGCUAGGAAUCAAAGCAGAGCUACAGCUGCUGGCCUACACCACAGCCACAGCAACGCAAGAAUGGAGCCACAUCUGCAACCUGCACCACAGCUCAGGCAACCCAGGAUCCCCAACCCAUGGAGCAAUGCCAGGGAUCAAACCAGCAUCCUCUUGGAUACUAGUCAGAUUCCUUUUCACUGUGCUACAGUGGGAACUCCCAUUACUCCUUCAAUUUUUGAGGAUUAGUUGAAGAGAAGGGGAGCAACUAUAAAUUGCUAAAUUUGAGAAAUUAUCAAGAGUGAAAACAUUAAAGAAGCAAUGGAUUUAGGUGAGUUAGGCAGAUAAAGAAGAAAUGAAAGUCAAACAGCAAGAACAAGAUGGAUGGAAGAAACACAAGAAGACAGAGAAAGGAGCAUCCCUUUUUUCCACCCUUAUAUUUCCCUCUUAGCAAGUAUUUAUUGAGAGUGUGAGUCCAAGAAGUAGUGAGAGCUAACAAGCCCUUUAAUCUUCUGGACCUGAGGAUUGGUCAUUUUUAAGAUCUUUUCCAGUUUAGAUAUUACUCUUUGCACUUCUAAAUUUCUAUACCUUAUGAGAAUGUUUAUUUUGCCUUGUGUUACUUACUGAUAUGAAAAUACUAGUGAAAGAAAGGAGUUUAAAGUAAACCUUCCUUGAAUGUCAGUCUGGUAUUUUCAAGAUCCACCCUGAAAUGGUAUCUUUUAAGGCUCUUCCUGACUGAACCGUUCUUAUUUUAGGACAGAAUUCUGUCUUGAAGGAACACCAUGGAAUAUUCAGCCAGGCUUGAGAUAAUUUAAACUUAGAAUAUUUUUAGAAAAUUCGUGAAUAUUGAAUGAAAUGGAGAGAAAUGUGUGUACCUCAUUUUCUUCUCCAUUCAUUAUGGACAAUCAUUAAUGUAUGUUGAACACUAUUAAUUAAUGCUGUCACUUCAUGACAUUCUUCAUUCUUCAUUUAAGCCUGAGGCAAAUUCUAUAUCCUUACUUUUGAACACUGUACUUUGUUCUUCAUCACCUUCAAACAUACAACAUAAUGCAUUUCCUUGCUCUAUUGCUUAUUUUUCACCCCUCUAAAAUCAAGGCAGAAUUCUUUGUCUGAUGACUAAUACAUCCUAAGCACUUAUAAAUUCUCAUACAUAGUGUUCCCUAUAUAUUUGUAGAAUAAGUGAAUGUAUUCCAUUUAGAAACUAUAUGUAUUUCCACUUUAACAAAUCUAAUAUUGUAAUAAAAUAAUUCAUUUGGAAUUUUCUCCAUGAAAGAAAAAUGUCCUCAGGUAUUUAAUAAGAGUCGAGUUGAUUUACAAAGUUGUGUUAGUUUCAGUUGUACAGCAAAAUGAUUUAGUUAUACAAACACACACACAUAUAUUCUUUUUUAGAUUCUCUUCCAUUUUAGGUUAUUAUAAGAUGUUGAAUAUAGUUCCUUGUGCUAUAAAGUUGGUCCUUUGUGUUUAUCUGUUUUAUAUAUAGCAGUGUAUAUGUGUUAAUUUCAACCUCUCAAUUUAUCCUUCCCUCAUCUUCCCCCCCCUUUGGUAACCAUAAGUUUGUUUUUUAUGUCUGUGAGCCUAUUUCUGUUUUGUAAAUAAGUACAUUUGUAUCACUUUUUAGAUUCCAUGUAUAGUUUAUCUCAUAUGAUAUUUGUCUUUAUCUUCAGUUAAUACAACAAUCUCUAGGUCCAUAGAUGUUACUGCAAAUGGCAUUAUUCACUCUUUUUUAUGGCUAAGUAAUAUUCUAUCGUGUAUAUGUGUACCACAUCUUCAUUAUCCUUUCAUCUAUCGAUGGGCAUUAAGUUGCUUCAAUGUUUUGGUUUUUGUAAAUAGUGCUUCCAUGAACAUUGGGGUACAUGUAUUUUUUCAAAUUAGAGUUUUCUCUGGAUAUACACCCAGAAGUGGAAUUGCUGGAUCAUAUGAUAGUUCAAUUUUAAUUUUUUAAGUCACCUCCAUACUGUUCUCCUUAGUGGCUGCACCAAUUUACAUCCUUGCCAACAGAGAAGAGAAUUCCCUUUUUUCCACACCAUCUCCAGCAUUUGCUAUUUGUAAACAUUUUGAUGAUGGCCAUUCUGACCAAUGUGCGGUGAUACCUUGCCAUAGUUUUGAUUUGCAUUUCUCUAAAAAUUAGUGUAUUGAGCAUCUUUUCAUGUGCCUGUUGGUCAUCUGUAUGUCUUCUUUACAAAACUGUCUAUAUAGGUCUUCUGCCCACAUUUGGUUGUUUGGUUUUGAUAUUAACCUGUAUACACUGUUUGUAUAUUUUGGAAAUUAAUCUGUUAUUGGCUGUAUCAUUUGCAAGUAUUUUCUCCUAUUCCAGAGGAAGUCCUUUCAUUUUGUUUAUUUUCUCUUUGGUUGGUUUUUGCUGUGAAAAAGCUUUUAAGUUUAAUUAGGUCCAUCUGUUUAUUUUUGCUUUUGUUUCCAUUAUUCUAAGAGACAGGUCCAAAAAAAAAAAUAUGACUGUGAGUUAUGCCACAGAGUUCUGCCUAUGUUUACCUCUAGAAGUUUUGUAGUAUUUAGUCUUGCAUUUAGAUUUUUAAUCCAUGAUACUAGAAAAUGUUCUAAUUUCAUACUUUUACAUGUAGCUAUUCAGUUUUCCCAGCACCAGUAAUGGAAGGGACUGCCUUUUCUCCACUGUACCGUCUUGCCCCUUUGUCAUAGAUUAACUGACCAUAGGUGUGUAGGUUUAUUUCUGGGCUUUCUGCCCUGUUUCAUUUAUCUAUGUGUUUGUUUUUGUGCCAGUACCAUACUGUUUUGAUGACUAUAGCUUUGUAUUAUACUCUGAAGUCAGGGUUUAUGAUUCCUCCAGCUCUGUUCUUCUUUCUCAAGAUCGUUUUAGCUAUCCAUGGUCUUUUAUGUUUCCAUGAAAUUUUUAGGGUUCUUUUAGUUAUAGUUUUGUGAAAAAUGCCAUUGUUAAUUUGAUAGGGAUUGUAUUGAAUCUGUAAAUUGCCUUGGGUAGUACAGUCAUCUUGACAUUAUUGAUUCUUCCAGCCCAAGAACAUAAUAUAUCUUUCCCUCCUAUUGUGUCAUAUUCCAUUUUUCUUUCAUCAGCUUUUUCAGCUAUGUCUUAAGAAUAAAUUCUCCCAAUCUUUUAUUACCCAUCAUUCAUUAAUCAAAAACUGACUGAUGAGGUCAAGCAGAGAAUUCUGAAUCAUGUAACUUUUAGGAGACAUGCCUUAAACAGAGUGACAUUAAAUAGGAGAGGUAACAUUGUAGGCCAGUUACAUCAGGCAAGUACAAAUAAUAUUUAGGGCAAAAAUCAGUGGUACAGACUUCAGACUUAGUCGUUUCCUAAAAGUAGAAAGAAAUUUCAUAUACAAUCAAAUUUAUUCUGAAAGUCUUUCUGAUAAAUGAAAGAGAGAAACAUAUAAAUCCCAGCCUAUUCUAAAUUUAAAUAAGGCAUUGACGUAAAUUCAGAAGUCAUGGAUCACGGAUUGACUUCUGUCAAGUAGGCUAACGUGUAAGACAUACAAAAGUCUAAAUAUUAAUCUUAUGUUAUUUGGAUUAUGUCUGUGUUAUUUAAGAAUUUGUGUGUGUUAACAAAAUGCAUUUGUGAACUUUUAUAACAGGAAACUAAAAGGAAAUAUUUUACUAAAUGAUCUCUAGCUCCCUGAGAGGGAACUGGAAUCAUUUUUUUCUUCUACAUUCCCAAACUGAUGCAUCGGUUGGUAAAUUACUCCCUGAAUGCACAUGAGUAUUUUUCUUUUUGUCCUCUUUUUGAAACUGCAUCAUGUCUUUCAGGCCACUAGAGUAACAUACGAAAAAUUAUCACUUCAGUGGUUCCUCAUAGAAUGUAUUUUUGAGUCUACUUCCUAUAUUAUAUUCUGGGCAACUGCCAGAAAAUUAUAAGACACUUUCCUUGUAGUAUUUUGUCAUUUUAGCCAUCUAGUCUCAGCUGAAAAUCCAAAGAGAAAAUGAGAAAAAGGUCAAAUCUCUUAACAAUGAGGAAUUUAUAAAACUCUAGGUAAAAUUGAUUCCCAAAACUCUUGUAAGAGAAGAAGAACAGCAAUGACAUCUUGAUAUAUAGGUUGCUGAUGAAAUAAAUAUGUUUAUGUUGAGCUUAAUUUUAAUUAGCAGCCAGAUUUUAUAGACAUAAAUUGUCCAUUAAAUGUGAUGCAUUAGAAAAACUACUGUAAAUCUUAACAAAAAUCACUUUAUAAAAACGUACAUUUUCAUUAUCUACAAAACUCCCAUUACCACUUACUUCCUAGGCAUCUUAUACUGUAUAUUAUAACAAAUAAUAUUUAAUCUCUGGUCCUCAAUUCCUGAAAUUACCCCUGAGACUUAAAGGUAAAAUGAGAAUUUUGUUAUUCAUAACUAGCCCCUUUCCACCACAGCUGAAUUUAUGUUAAUGAGGUGACUUUUGCAGCCACCCCUAAAUAAAGGGUAGGAGCUAUCAGUCCUAUCGCUGAUUUCUGGGAAGGGGAGAGAACAUGGAGGCGACUUGGUCACCUUUGGUCAGGGAGUUAAUCAUCCAUGUCUGUAUGAUGAAACCUCCAU